UACGGAGGGGGCUAGCGUUGUUCGGAAUUACUGGGCGUAAAGCGCACGUAGGCGGCUUUGUAAGUUAGAGGUGAAAGCCUGGUGCUCAACACCAGAACUGCCUUUAAGACUGCAUCGCUUGAAUCCAGGAGAGGUGAGUGGAAUUCCGAGUGUAGAGGUGAAAUUCGUAGAUAUUCGGAAGAACACCAGUGGCGAAGGCGGCUCACUGGACUGGUAUUGACGCUGAGGUGCGAAAGCGUGGGGAGCAAACAGG
rnacentral:rRNA from 1 species